AUGGCACUGUGGAAAAGUGCCAUUGUGAUCGUAGUUUUGUAUAUCUGGGGAUGUAAAUCCCAAGACAAAGUUGAUCAGCAUACAAGGAUUCAAUCUGGUUUUGAAGGUGCUACUGUAACGAUCGACUGUACAUAUCAGACUGCUUUCACAAACCCGACUCUCUUCUGGUACCAGCAGAAAGUCAGUGGAAUCCCCAAGUACAUGCUAAAUAAAUAUUCUAAAUCUGGAAACAGUGAGGAAGAAUUCAAGGAGAGAUUUCAUGCGAAUCUCAGCAAAACUUCAGUUCCACUGACAAUCCAGGAUGUGCGUGUGUCUGACUCUGCUGUGUACUACUGUGCUCUGCAGCCCACAAGAGCAAAUGACUUUCCUAAAUACAUCCUGCGGAGAAACAAAUAUGGAGGAGAAAAUGAUGUUCAGUUCCAGGAGAGAUUUCACUCUGAAGUGUCAUCAAAUUCAGUUCCACUGACAAUCAAGAAUCUGCGUGUGUCUGACUCUGCUGUGUACUACUGUGCUCUGAAGCCCACAGUGAGAAAACUCAAGUCAAACCACAUACAAAAACACAUGAGCUGA